UACAGAGGUCCCAAGCGUUGUUCGGAUUCACUGGGCGUAAAGGGUGCGUAGGUGGUGAGGUAAGUCGGAUGUGAAAGCUCGGAGCUCAACUCCGAAAUGGCAUUGGAAACUACCUUGCUCGAGGGUUGGAGGGGGGACUGGAAUACUUGGUGUAGCAGUGAAAUGCGUAGAUAUCAAGUGGAACACCAGUGGCGAAGGCGAGUCCCUGGACCAACUCCUGACACUGAGGCGCGACAGCGUG
rnacentral:rRNA from 1 species